CACGUAGGGCGCAAGCGUUGUCCGGAAUUAUUGGGCGUAAAGAGCUCGUAGGCGGACUGUCACGUCCGCUGUGAAAAGCUAGGGCUUAACCCUGGCCUUGCAGUGGAUACGGGCAGACUAGAGGUAGGUAGGGGAGAAUGGAAUUCCCGGUGUAGCGGUGGAAUGCGCAGAUAUCAGGAAGAACACCCGUGGCGAAGGCGGCUCUCUGGAACGCAACUGACGCUGAGGCACGAAAGCCGUGGGGGAGCAAACAGG
rnacentral:rRNA from 1 species